GGUAGUGUGGCCGAGUGGUCUAAGGCGCUGGAUUUAGGCGCCAGUCUCUCAGGAGGCGUGAGUUCAAAUCCCACCACUGCCA